UACAGAGGUCUCAAGCGUUGUUCGGAUUCAUUGGGCGUAAAGGGUGUGUAGGUGGCGCGCUAAGUCGGGUGUGAAAUUUCGGAGCUUAACUCCGAAACUGCAUUCGAUACUGGCGUGCUUGAGGACUGGAGAGGAGACUGGAAUUCAUGGUGUAGCAGUGAAAUGCGUAGAGAUCAAUGAGGAAGACCAGUGGCGAAGGCGGGU
rnacentral:rRNA from 1 species